CAACCAAUAAAAAGAUAAGACAUUUUAUGUUGCAAAAAGGCUGCUUGGAAACUUCCAUG
rnacentral:sRNA from 1 species